CACGUAGGCGGCUUUUCAAGUCGGAUGUGAAAUCCCUCGGCUUAACCAAGGAAGUGCAUCCGAAACUGGAGAGCUUGAGUAGUUAAGAGGAUCGCGGAAUUCCCGGUGUAGAGGUGAAAUUCGUAGAUAUCGGGAGGAACACCAGUGGCGAAGGCGGCGAUCUGGGAACAUACUGACGCUGAGGUGCGAAAGCGUGGGGAGCAAACA
rnacentral:rRNA from 1 species